rnacentral:pre_miRNA from 1 species
AAAAUUGAAUGGCGAUUGUCGGUAUAGUCUCUUUUUCCAAAAAUCUUGUUUGUUUUUGCCAAUCUAAUAAGAAAGUGACUAGACCGAACACUCGUGCUAUAAUUUUAA